GACGAACGCUGGCGGCGUGCUUAACACAUGCAAGUCGAGCGGUAAGGCCCUUUCGGGGGUACGACGAGCGGCGAACGGGUGAGUAACACGUGGGUGACCUGCCCUCAGCUCUGGGAUAAGCCCGGGAAACUGGGUCUAAUACCGGAUAUGACUCCAUGACGCAUGUUGUGGGGUGGAAAGCCUUGUGCGGCUGAGGAUGGGCCCGCGGCCUAUCAGCUUGUUGGUGGGGUGAUGGCCACCAAGGCGACGACGGGUAGCCGGCCUGAGAGGGCGACCGGCCACACUGGGACUGAGAUACGGCCCACGACUCCUACGGGAGGGCAGCAGUGGGGAAGUCUUGCGCAAUGGGCGAAAGCCUGACGCAGCGACGCCGCGUGA
rnacentral:rRNA from 1 species